rnacentral:rRNA from 1 species
GUAGGUGGCAAGCGUUGUCCGGAAUUAUUGGGCGUAAAGCGCGCGCAGGCGGUUCUUUAAGUCUGAUGUGAAAGCCCACGGCUCAACCGUGGAGGGUCAUUGGAAACUGGAGAACUUGAGUACAGAAGAGGAAAGCGGAAUUCCACGUGUAGCGGUGAAAUGCGUAGAGAUGUGGAGGAACACCAGUGGCGAAGGCGGCUUUCUGGUCUGUAACUGACGCUGAGGCGCGGAAGCGUGGGGAGCAAACAGGAUUAGAUACCCUGGUAGUCCACGCCGUAAACGAUGAGUGCUAAGUGUUAGGGGGUUUCCGCCCCCCUUAGUGCUGCAGCUAACGCAUUAAGCACUCCGCCUGGGAGUACGGCCGCAAGGCUG